UGAAAAUGCUCACAACCGUGAGUUUUUUGUCAAUCUCGUAGAUGACAAAGAUGGCACAGCUAUUCUAUGGUUUCGGAGACAGUUGGCUAGGUUAACUUGAGGAAUGCUGUUUCAGGAAUGCAUCAUAAUUAAACUUCAGGAAUCCAAGAGGAGGACGCUCCACAGCUAGUAGUUUUUAGUGUAUGUUUUCUAAGAUUGUGAACUGGCGAAUUUGUCAUCUCUGCUUCCAAAGUUGAGCACAAGAAGUGCCAUGUUAAUAUAUUUGCAAUUUGCACUAUUUAAAUUCAGCACUGUAAUUUGCACUAUUUAUUUUCCAUACCUGCCUAUGUUUUAUGGAUAUGAUUACAUAUUAUUGGAGGUGUGUGUGCAUGAUGUUACUUGAUGGAGCUAUACUUGAUAUUA